rnacentral:rRNA from 1 species
UGGCUCACCAAGGCGACGAUGCGUAGCCGACCUGAGAGGGUGAUCGGCCACAUUGGGACUGAGGCACGGCCCAGACUCCUACGGGAGGCAGCAUG